UGCCAGCCGUCGCGGUAACACGAGUGGUGCGAGCGUUAAUCGGAAUUACUGGGCGUAAAGGGCGCGUAGGUGGCUCGAUAAGUCGGGUGUGAAAGCCCCGAGCUUAACUUGGGAAUUGCAUUCGAUACUGUCGAGCUAGAGUGUGGUAGAGGGAAGUGGAAUUCCGGGUGUAGCGGUGAAAUGCGUAGAUAUCCGGAGGAACACCAGUGGCGAAGGCGGCUUCCUGGACCAACACUGACACUGAGGCGCGAAAGCGUGGGGAGCAAACAGGAUUAGAUA
rnacentral:rRNA from 1 species